UAGCUACAGGCUUAACACAUGCAAGUCGAGGGGUAGCAGGGUAGCAAUACCGCUGACGACCGGCGCACGGGUGAGUAACACGUAUCCAACCUUCCCAUAACUCAGGGAUAGCCUUUCGAAAGAAAGAUUAAUACCUGAUAGUACUUUUUCAAGGCAUCUUGAGAAAGUUAAAGAUUUAUUGGUUAUGGAUGGGGAUGCGUUCCAUUAGAUAGUUGGUGAGGUAACGGCUCACCAAGUCUUCGAUGGAUAGGGGUUCUGAGAGGAAGGUCCCCCACAUUGGUACUGAGACACGGACCAAACUCCUACGGGAGGCAGCAGUGAGGAAUAUUGGUCAAUGGGCGAGAGCCUGAACCAGCCAAGUAGCGUGAAGGAUGAAGGUCCUAUGGAUUGUAAACUUCUUUUAUAGUAGAAUAAAGUGAUCCACGUGUGGAUUUUUGUAUGUAUACUAUGAAUAAGGAUCGGCUAACUCCGUGCCAGCAGCGGC
rnacentral:rRNA from 1 species